CACGUAGGGUGCGAGCGUUGUCCGGAAUUAUUGGGCGUAAAGAGCUCGUAGGCGGUGUGUCGCGUCGGCCGUGAAAACCUGCAGCUUAACUGUGGGCUUGCGGUCGAUACGGGCAUCACUGGAGUUCGGCAGGGGAGACUGGAAUUCCUGGUGUAGCGGUGAAAUGCGCAGAUAUCUGGAGGAACACCGGUGGCGAAGGCGGCAUCCGGGACCAAUACUGACGCUGAGGAGCGAAAGCCAGGGGAGCAAACGGG
rnacentral:rRNA from 1 species